rnacentral:rRNA from 1 species
GACGAACGCUGGCGGCGUGCUUAACGCAUGCAAGUGGAGCGACGAACCGGGGCUUGCCCCGGGGCAAAGCCGCGAACGGGUGAGUAACACGUGGGUAACCCACCUCGAUGACCGGGACAACCCGAGGAAACUCGGGCUAAUACCGGAUGUGUUCCCUUCUCGCGAGAGAUGGGAGGAAAGAUAGCUUCGCCCUUCGCCUCGAGACGGGCCCGCGGCCAAUUAGCUUGUUGGUGGGGUAACGGCCGACCAAGCCUUCGAUGGGUAGCUGGUCUGAGAGGACGAUCAGCCACACUGGGACUGAGACACGGCCCAGACUCCUACGGGAGGCAGCAGUGGGGAAUCUUGCACAAUGCGCGAAAGCGUGAUGCAGCAACGCCGCGUGGGGGAAGAAGGCCUUCGGGUUGUAAACCCCUUUCAGUUGGGACGAAGCUUCGCCGGUGAAUAGCCGGCCGGAGUGACGGUACCUUCAGAAGAAGCCCCGGCUAACUACGUGCCAGCAGCCGCCGUAAUAC